rfam:Ovis aries breed Texel chromosome 17, whole genome shotgun sequence.
UCCCUGGUGGUCCAGUGGUUAAGACUCUUUGCUUCCAAUGCAGGAGGGGAUACAGGUUUGAUCCCUGAUUGGGGAA